AAUUAUAUGUAAAUAAAUAUUUAUUUUUAAAUUUCCAAUUUAUUUAUUUACAGCUUUUAUAACUACUCUCAAUACGCAAAAAUAUAUAUAAACACACACACAUAUUUAUGUAUGCACAUGUAUAUUCUAUAAAUUAAAAACCAUAUUGCAGUUUAUGACUUGCAUUGAUUUAGUGACGCAUCCAUAAGUCCAGCCCGCAGUUCCGGAUCCCACAAGAUAAUCAUGGAGCGUAUUCCACAUUCCCAAAUUAAAGAGCAUUAUUAUUAACCUUUAACAUUUUCACGCUCGAAAGUUAUGAGAAGCAAAAUCAACAAAUUAUUCAGAAAGUCGGCUGGAAAAGGGAAUGCGGAUAGCUAAGGAACGUUGCUGUACAGUGAGGCGUGACUAAUCAGGCAACAAAACUUUUGCCGGCUGCUAAUUGCCGUGAAGGCGCCGCAACUGUCCAUAGAUAUAUAUACUUUAUAUGCAUAUAUGUAUGUAUUUAUUUAUAUAUGUAUGUAUAUAUGAA